rnacentral:RNase_P_RNA from 1 species
CAAGCAGAUCACCUUAUCGCUGUUCGCGUUUGCGGAGAGAGGAAAGUCCGGACACCAUAGUGCAGCAUAGCGGGUAACGCCCGUCCGUCGCGAGAUGAGGACAAGUGCAGCAGAAAGUAUGUACAGGUUAAGCUGUAGUGAAACCAGGUAAACUCUAUGCGGUGCAACGCCAUGUAAACCAACGCUUAAGAGUUGCACGCUCAAUGUUGGAGGGUAGGCGGUUUGAUAUUGAUAGUAAUGUCAAUACUAGAUAAAUGAUAAGGAGUCCGCCAUAGGUGGAAUACAGAAUCCGGCUUAUGAUCUGCUUUUUUU